rnacentral:rRNA from 1 species
CCACGAUCCCCACUUUCCCCCCACGUCUCCCUCGUCCUCCCACACCGCCGCCGCCACACAACACACACGCGGGAGAGGAGCUCCCUCAUGCCCAACGCCGCGCCGGCGACCCCCUUUGACCGCCUCGCUGCCCUUCCCUGUCGCCCGGUCAUCUCUUCCUCCGUUUGCCUCAGCAGCUCGUCGCGCCCCUCUUCCACCUUCCUCGGCUGGGCGCAGCCACCACCUCGCCGCAGCCAUGGCCAACGGCCUUCCCGAGCUGCGUCGUGCUGCCCUACGGCUUCCUCGACGUCGUCCACAACCUCCACGUGCCCGAGACCGACUGGAGCGGCCCAAGUCAACAACAUCGACUGGUUCCCCAUCGCGGCCACCAGAGCUCCUACACGUCGGUCCCCUCGACUCUGAACUCCUCGCGUCACCUCGAGCACGACAACACCCUCGAUACUACGAGACUGACGUCGCUGCUGCCCUGAUCGACUACGGUGUUGACGACCCCUCCUUCUUGUCUGAUCAACCAG